rnacentral:rRNA from 1 species
UACGUAGGGGGCAAGCGUUGUCCGGAAUUAUUGGGCGUAAAGAGCGCGUAGGCGGUCCGGUAAGUCGGCUGUGAAAGUCAAGGGCUCAACCCUUGAAAGCCGGCCGAUACUGUCGGACUAGAGUCCGGAAGAGGCGAGUGGAAUUCCCGGUGUAGCGGUGAAAUGCGCAGAUAUCAGGAAGAACACCUAUGGCGAAGGCAGCUCUCUGGGACGGUACUGACGCUGAGACGCGAAAGCGUGGGGAGCGAACAGG